rnacentral:rRNA from 1 species
UACGAAGGGGGCUAGCGUUGCUCGGAAUUACUGGGCGUAAAGGGCGCGUAGGCGGAUGUUUAAGUUAGAGGUGAAAGCCCAGGGCUCAACCCUGGAAUAGCCUUUAAUACUGGAUAUCUUGAGUUCGGGAGAGGUGAGUGGAACUCCGAGUGUAGAGGUGAAAUUCGUAGAUAUUCGGAAGAACACCAGUGGCGAAGGCGACUCACUGGCCCGAUACUGACGCUGAGGCGCGAAAGCGUGGGGAGCAAACAGG